GUGCUCACUUCAGCAGCACAUAUACUGAAAUUGGAACGAUACAGAGAAGAUUAGCAUGGCCCCUGCACAAGGAUGACACGCAAAUUCAUGAAAUGUCCCAUAUUUUU
ensembl:snRNA U6 U6 spliceosomal RNA